CCUACGGGUGGCUGCAGUGAGGAAUAUUGGUCAAUGGCCGGAAGGCUGAACCAGCCAUGCCGCGUGAAGGUCAGUGCCCUAUGGGCGUUAAACUUCUUUUGUGCGGGAGCAAUAAUCGUCACGUGUGGCCAGACGAGAGUACCGUACGAAUAAGCAUCGGCCAACUCCGUGCCACCAGCCGCGGUAAUACGGGGGCUGGAAGCGUUAUCCGGAUUGUUUGGGUUUAAAGGGUGCGUAGGCUGUGAGGUAAGUCAGCGGGGAAGUGCCCCCGCUCAACGGGGGGAAGUGCCAGGGCUACUGGCUAGCUGGAAUGCGGAUGCCGUGGGAGGAAUGUGUGGUGUAGCGGUGAAAUGCAGAGAUAUCACACAGAACACCGAUUGCGAAGGCAUCUCACGAAUCCGCGAUUGACGCUGAUGCACGAAAGCGUGGGUAUCAAACAGGAUUAGAUACCCCAGUAGUC
rnacentral:rRNA from 1 species